AAGUUUGAAAAUAAAACGGAUCGAGUAUGGCAUCAGUGUCUGUGGACAUUCUGGGAAGGGCCUAUGAGCCGAAUGUAAAGAUGAUUUCCAGGAAGGUUCAUGUCUAGAGAAGCCCAAGAGAAGCACCCCUACCUGUGAAGCAUGUGCUCCCUGUGGGAAUGUCACAAACAGGUGGGUGGGGCCAGUAAUUAUCUUUAACAUUCAGUAGGCUCAAGCCUUAAGUGAUAGACUAUGCACUGAGUUGAUACUUUCUUCAGAGGCCUCUCCUCAUUAAAUUUUACAUACAAUUUAUAUUUAAAUGUAUAAGUUAGGGAGAUGGCUGUAGUCGUGUUUCAUAUUGUGUCCCUGACUUCAGCCAUGCUGGGCCCAACCAAUAGUUAUAAAUGAUAAGGAUCAUGCUUGGAAGAAGCAAAGACCCUUCAGAGCACUGCAGUAAUGAAUUUGACACACUCCCUACCUGUCCUGACACUGUGGGCUGCCAUAGCUGAUGGUUGUCCCUGGCUUGGGCCCACUAGAAGAGUUUCUUCUGCACCAGCCUGGAGCCUGAAGUCUUCUCAUGUGAUACAGGCUGGGUGUGGACAUCCCAUGGCCUCUUUCUCCAAAAACAGCCCAAACGUACCGAGUCACAUGCACUUGCUGUGGUUCAAGCCCUCCUUCUGGACUCUGGUUUGUCCUCAGGUACCAUCACCCUUGAGAGGAGGAACGCAGUUGACAAUGCCGCUUCCUCAGCUCAAUUGUCUGAACACACACUCUGCCUCAUCAUCUCAGAUUCUUCAUAGUCACCAUGGUUUACUGCUGGCACUCAGCCUGUGGGAUACCAUCUUCUGCCCUUCUACUUGGUUCCAACAGUAACCUUAUCUUAUUUCCUACUUAACUCUCUGCAUCAUUAAUCUUGAGUUUGUGAGUUAUUAGCUUGUUCUUGUCUGGCAUUCCUGUGGCCCUGGGUUUUAGAAUGAACAGCACAAAAAUACAUAGAUGAAUAACUAAUAAAUACAUACAGCAUGGAUGAUUGACAAUAGAGUU